rnacentral:lncRNA from 1 species
AAAAAGCUCUACACAUUUUUUAGAAUUAUUUUCUAGUAAACUGACAUCCUGCUUUCCAAAUGUAAACUAGAUAUGCAACUAUAAGGACAUUUUAGAAGUCAUGAUAAGUCAUGAUAAGAGGGUACAGCAUAUGGAAAACAGUUUUUACCUGCAGUGAUGAGAAAAAUUUGAUGAUUUCAUUAAAGGAGCACAAACAAGAUUUAGUACCACCUGAUGUUGAAAACUGUGAUAUAUUCAUAUGCAACCCUAAAUGGAGCAAAUGGACUAAUGCCCUGGGGGAACAUGUUAAAGGCUGGGAACUCAUCAUCAAGAUGCUUCAAGCAACAGGUUAUAAGCAGAGGCAGAUAAUCUUCCCAAUCAUCAUAUAAGACUUACAUCAUGGCUCUUUCUGUCCUCCUUAGCCCAACCAAAAAGAUGGACCAUCUGAAAGACUUAAUUAGAAGUACAAUGGUAGAAACAUUUAAGAAAGAAGUAGAGCCCAGCAUGAAUCUCAUGAUCUAUAAGUGUACCUGAAGUCAGAAGACAUCAAUGAAAAAAUCUACCUUUUAUUACUGAUAAUUCAGGAAUCUUGAUAAUUUGGGAAUUCUGCAUCUUUUAGCUACUCUUAUCUCUAAAAUUUGAUUUUUUUUCUCUGAAAUGUAUAACUGAAAUACUUGAAUUGACUUUUUUUAGCAUUUAUCAUAAUAUUUAGUCAUAAUGAAGAAAUUCUGCCCUAAGGAAACGGCAAUUUUGCAUCAAGUAGAUCAGUUUAGCCAUGAAUUUCUGUACUAAAUGCAGUCCUCAAUAUUGAUCAAAAUAAUGAAAAAAGGAUGAAAUUAAUCCUGAAAUUAUCCUGUAAAACAUUUCUUGCCUUCAAGCUGAUGUUCACACCUUCCAUUCUUGGUAACUCUGGAGUCAGAGGAGAGCUUAACAGAACUAGUGAAUACCAUCCUCAGAAAGGAUCCCCACUAGACUGUCUGCAUUUGGGCACUUUCCAGGGAAGAACUGUGUCUAAACAGCACGAGUGCUAUGCAGCUCUGCCCCCCAUAACCGACUACCACAUGAUGGAUUCCCUCAAGUGCAUUAAUAUGUAUAUGUUUCAGAGAGGAGAUGUUCUUAUUGUAUUCUCUCUUACCCACAAAUUCAAAAUCUAAGAAUAUGUGACAAUAAUUAUUUUAAGUGAGUUUAUUUUUUCUAACCAAUUUAACAUAGUAACUUCAUGUAAAAUAACACUAUUAUCACCAAGUGAUAUAACUACUGAGUAUGAAAAAGAAAGCUAAAAUUACUAAAAUAUCUACCACUGUG